AUUGAACGCUGGCGGCAUGCCUUACACAUGCAAGUCGAACGGUAGAGUAGCAAUACUUGAGAGUGGCGAACGGGUGAGUAAUAUAUCGGAACGUGCCCAGUCGUGGGGGAUAACGUAGAGAAAUUUACGCUAAUACCGCAUACGAUCUAAGGAUGAAAGCGGGGGAUUCGCAAGAACCUCGCGCGAUUGGAGCGGCUGAUAUCAGAUUAGGUUGUUGGUGAGGUAAAAGACUCACCAAGCCGACGAUCUGUAGCUGGUUUGAGAGAACGACCAGCCACACUGGGACUGAGACACGGCCCAGACUCCUACGGGAGGCAGCAGUGGGGGAAUUUUGGACAAUGGGCGCAAGCCUGAUCCAGCAAUGCCGCGUGCAGGAUGAAGGCCUUC
rnacentral:rRNA from 1 species